rnacentral:tRNA from 1 species
GGGGAAUUAGCUCAGUUGGCUAGAGCGCUACACUGGCAGUGUAGAGGUCAGCGGUUCGAAUCCGCUAUUCUCCACCA